CAGUCGCCAGCGGUAAUACGAAGGGGGCUAGCGUUGCUCGGAAUGACUGGGCGUAAAGGGUGCGUAGGCGGUUCGUUAAGUCUGUCGUGAAAUCCCCGGGCUCAACCUGGGAAUGGCGAUGGAUACUGGCAAGCUAGAGUGUGUCAGAGGAUGGUGGAAUUUCCGGUGUAGCGGUGAAAUGCGUAGAGAUCGGAAGGAACAUCAGUGGCGAAGGCAGCCCCCUGGGCCAAUACUGACGCUAAUGCACGAAAGCGUGGGGAGCAAACAGGAUUAGAUACCCCUGUAGUCCCUGUCUCUUAUU
rnacentral:rRNA from 1 species